rnacentral:rRNA from 1 species
CGGGACACGUGGUAUCCUGUCUGAAUAUGGGGGGACCAUCCUCCAAGGCUAAAUACUCCUGACUGACCGAUAGUGAACCAGUACCGUGAGGGAAAGGCGAAAAGAACCCCGGCGAGGGGAGUGAAAAAGAACCUGAAACCGUGUACGUACAAGCAGUGGGAGCACGCUUAGGCGUGUGACUGCGUACCUUUUGUAUAAUGGGUCAGCGACUUAUAUUCUGUAGCAAGGUUAACCGAAUAGGGGAGCCGAAGGGAAACCGAGUCUUAACUGGGCGUUAAGUUGCAGGGUAUAGACCCGAAACCCGGUGAUCUAGCCAUGGGCAGGUUGAAGGUUGGGUAACACUAACUGGAGGACCGAACCGACUAAUGUUGAAAAAUUAGCGGAUGACUUGUGGCUGGGGGUGAAAGGCCAAUCAAACCGGGAGAUAGCUGGUUCUCCCCGAAAGCUAUUUAGGUAGCGCCUCGUGAAUUCAUCUCCGGGGGUAGAGCACUGUUUCGGCAAGGGGGUCAUCCCGACUUACCAACCCGAUGCAAACUGCGAAUACCGGAGAAUGUUAUCACGGGAGACACACGGCGGGUGCUAACGUCCGUCGUGAAGAGGGAAACAACCCAGACCGCCAGCUAAGGUCCCAAAGUCAUGGUUAAGUGGGAAACGAUGUGGGAAGGCCCAGACAGCCAGGAUGUUGGCUUAGAAGCAGCCAUCAUUUAAAGAAAGCGUAAUAGCUCACUGGUCGAGUCGGCCUGCGCGGAAGAUGUAACGGGGCUAAACCAUGCACCGAAGCUGCGGCAGCGACGCUGAUGCGUUGUUGGGUAGGGGAGCGUUCUGUAAGCCUGUGAAGGUGUGCUGUGAGGCAUGCUGGAGGUAUCAGAAGUGCGAAUGCUGACAUAAGUAACGAUAAAGCGGGUGAAAAGCCCGCUCGCCGGAAGACCAAGGGUUCCUGUCCAACGUUAAUCGGGGCAGGGUGAGUCGACCCCUAAGGCGAGGCCGAAAGGCGUAGUCGAUGGGAAACAGGUUAAUAUUCCUGUACUUGGUGUUACUGCGAAGGGGGGACGGAGAAGGCUAUGUUGGCCGGGCGACGGUUGUCCCGGUUUAAGCGUGUAGGCUGGUUUUCCAGGCAAAUCCGGAAAAUCAAGGCUGAGGCGUGAUGACGAGGCACUACGGUGCUGAAGCAACAAAUGCCCUGCUUCCAGGAAAAGCCUCUAAGCAUCAGGUAACAUCAAAUCGUACCCCAAACCGACACAGGUGGUCAGGUAGAGAAUACCAAGGCGCUUGAGAGAACUCGGGUGAAGGAACUAGGCAAAAUGGUGCCGUAACUUCGGGAGAAGGCACGCUGAUAUGUAGGUGAAGCGACUUGCUCGUGGAGCUGAAAUCAGUCGAAGAUACCAGCUGGCUGCAACUGUUUAUUAAAAACA